rnacentral:tRNA from 1 species
GGAGAUGUCGCAUAGUUGGUCUAGUGCGUUCGCUUGGAAGGCGAAUAGACUGAAAGGUCUCAUGGGUUCGAAUCCCAUCAUCUCCU